AUACGGAGGAUGCAAGCGUUAUCCGGAUUUAUUGGUUUUAAAGGGUUCGAAGGCGGAAAAUUAAGUCAGUGGUGAAAGCCUGCAGCUCAACUGCAGAACUGCCAUUGAUACUGAUUUUCUUGAAUUUAUAUGAAGUGGGCGGAAUGCGUCAUGUAGCGGUGAAAUGCACAGAUAUGACGCAGAACACCAAUUGCGAAGGCAGCUCACUAAUGUAAUAUUGACGCUGAGGAACGAAAGCAUGGGGAGCGAACAGGAUUAGAAACCCCAGUAGUCC
rnacentral:rRNA from 1 species